rnacentral:rRNA from 1 species
AUUGAACGCUGGCGGCAUGCCUUACACAUGCAAGUCGAACGGCAGCAUGGGUGCUUGCACCUGAUGGCGAGUGGCGAACGGGUGAGUAAUGCAUCGGAACGUACCCGGAAGUGGGGGAUAACGUAGCGAAAGUUACGCUAAUACCGCAUAUUCUGUGAGCAGGAAAGUGGGGGAUCGCACGACCUCGCGCUUCCGGAGCGGCCGAUGUCGGAGUAGCUAGUUGGCGGGGUAAAGGCCCACCAAGGCAACGAUCCGUGGCGGGUCUGAGAGGAUGAUCCGCCACACUGGGACUGAGGCACGGCCCAGACUCCUACGGGAGGCAGCAGUGGGGAAUUUUGGACAAUGGGGGCAACCCUGAUCCAGCCAUGCCGCGUGAGUGAAGAAGGCCUUCGGGUUGUAAAGCUCUUUCGGCCGGGAAGAAAUCGCAAAGGUUAAUACCUUGUGUGGAUGACGGUACCGGAAUAAGAAGCACCGGCUAACUACGUGCCAGCAGCCGCCGCCGUAA